rnacentral:rRNA from 1 species
GCCGUCGCGCUACCAUGCAGUCGACGGUAGCACAGAGAACUUGCUCUCUUGUGACGAGCGGGGGAGGGGUGAGUAAUGUCUGUGGAAACUGCCUGUUGGAGGGGGAUAUCUACUGGGAACGGUAACUCAUACCGCAUAAUGUCGCAAGACCAAGUGGGGGACAUUCUGGCCUCUUGCCCUCAUUAUGUGCCCCGAUGGGAUUAUCUAGUAGUGUGGGGUAACGGCUCACCUAAGCGACAAUACCUAGCUGGUCUGAGAGGAUGACCACCCACACUGUAACUGAGACACAGUCCACACACCUACGGGAGGCAGCAGUGGGGAAUAUUGCGGAAUGGGCGCACGCCUGAUGCCCCCUGCCGCGUGUAUGAAGAAAGCCUUCUGGUUGUUAAAGUACUUUCAUCGGGGAGGAAAGCUAUAAGGUUAUAACCUUGGCGAUUGAUCGUUACCCGCAGAAAAAACACCGGCUAACUCCGUGCCAGCAGCCGCGGUAAUACGGAGGGUGCGAGCGUUUAUCUCAAUUACUGGGCGUGUAGCGCACGCAGGCGGUCUGUCUAUCUGAUGUGUAAUCCCCGGGCUCUCCUGGGAACUACUUUCUGGAUGGCGGCUAUAGUCUUGUAGAUGGGGUAGAAUUCCUCGUGUAGCAGUGUGUGCGUAGAGUCUGAAGAAUACCGGUGGCGAGGCGGCCCCUGGACAACACGACGCUCUGUGCAAACGUGGGAG